GGGAUCAUUACACAAUUAAAAUAUGAAGGCUUCGGCUGGAUUAUUUUUAUCACCCUUGUCUUUUGCGCACUUGUUGUUUCCUGGGCGGGUUCGCCCGCCACCAGGACCACACCAUAAACCUUUUUUAUGCAGUUGCAAUCAGCGUCAGUAUAACAAAUGUAAAUCAUUUACAACUUUCAACAACGGAUCUCUUGGUUCUGGCAUCGAUGAAGAACGCAGCGAAAUGCGAUACGUAGUGUGAAUUGCAGAAUUCAGUGAAUCAUCGAAUCUUUGAACGCACAUUGCGCCCUUUGGUAUUCCAAAGGGCAUGCCUGUUCGAGCGUCAUUUGUACCCUCAAGCUUUGCUUGGUGUUGGGCGUCUUUUGUCUUUGGCCUCGCCCAAAGACUCGCCUUAAAACGAUUGGCAGCCGGCCUACUGGUUUCGCAGCGCAGCACAUUUUUGCGCUUGCAAUCAGCACAAGGACGGCAAUCCAUCAAGACUACAUUUUUACGUUUGACCUC
rnacentral:sRNA from 1 species